UCCUUCGGGAGCAGAGUGACAGGUGGUGCAUGGUUGUCGUCAGCUCGUGUCGUGAGAUGUUGGGUUAAGUCCCGCAACGAGCGCAACCCUUGAUCUUAGUUGCCAUCAUUUAGUUGGGCACUCUAAGGUGACUGCCGGUGACAAACCGGAGGAAGGUGGGGAUGACGUCAAAUCAUCAUGCCCCUUAUGACCUGGGCUACACACGUGCUACAAUGGACGGUACAAAGAGCUGCAAGACCGCGAGGUGGAGCUAAUCUCAUAAAACCGUUCUCAGUUCGGAUUAUAGGCUGCAACUCGCCUACAUGAAGCUGGAAUCGCUAGUAAUCGCGGAUCAGCAUGCCGCGGUGAAUACGUUCCCGGGCCUUGUACACACCGCCCGUCACACCACGAGAGUUUGUAACACCCGAAGUCGGUGGGGUAACCUUUUUGGAGCCAGCCGCCUAAGGUGGGACAGAUGAUUGGGGUGAAGUCGUAACAAGGUAGCCGUAUCGGAAGGUGCGGCUG
rnacentral:rRNA from 1 species